GGGCAGUCAGCAGGCCCUUUCCGGCCCUGGUCUUCAGGAGCUGGCGAGGUGAAGAAAUGUGGAAACACCGAGACGAAAAGUGGAUGGGGUCCCGGGCUCAACAGGAGAUUUAUUCGCUAGGAGGGGAAAAUGCCCAAACAAUGAAGAACUAACUGCGCUUGUCACCUCGAGAUGCUUGCUGUCCUGCUCUGUCCGCCUUCCCUGGCAACCAGCUGUCCUGGAUGCCAACCCGCGCGCGUCCUAACGCGCGGGCGGCAGGUCGCAUCGCCCAGAGGUGGCGGAGUGUGAGAUCCGAGAACCGCGAGAAGCCCACGAGGUAGGGCUGAGCCUGCAGGCUCCCCGCAACCCAGCUCCUGAGGCAGGCCUCCAAAGUACCCCCUUCCCCGCAUAACUAGAAAAAGUCUCCGGCAAGUAAGAGAGCAAGAGCUAAGGCUAACUUAAGCUUUAUGGGGUGAGGGCAAGGCGCUGAUGUUUCUAUUACGUUGAAAAGGAGAAACAGGACAGCACAGAAGUUAAACAUCUUAGAUUCAGUGGGGGCGGGAUUCCCAGGCCCAAGCCCACGCCUUUAUAUUACAUUUGGAAGCUGAAUUUGCCAACGUUUGUUUACCUUAUGUAAAUAUGAGUAACUGUUGGGAUUGGAAGCUUUUUCCUCUCUUGGGGACUUUAAUGUCCUUCCGAGGCCUCCAAGACAGGGUUUGAAAUUACUCAAGCUAGUAAUUUCCCUCCUCUCCUCCUUUCAUUAGUUGAAGUGAGCUGGGGUGUGGGAUUUCUAGAUUUUUCUCAAGUGCUACAUGGCACCCUUUCUCUCAUCUGGGGAGGCAAUUACGCUAUAAUUAAGGGACUCACACAGCUCUUUUUAUCUUGUCCCCGGUGUGGAGUGGGGCGAUCAAAGUAAAGGCUGUCCAAGUUCAAGCCCUGGUGAGGAUGGAGUUCAUACACAAGGGCUCAGGCAGGCCGGCCUCCGCUUGAGCUGGUGUUGUUAUUGUUGAUGUCAAUCCGAACAAGACUUACAAAGAAAUAGGUGGACUGGAAAGUGAGCCUGCUAUCAAAGGAGAUUAAUCAUUUUGUGAUCCCAAGCAACUAUGGGGUGUGAAGUUGCAUUUAAAAGCCCUUAGAAGGCAAACAAAUAAUCAACUUUAAGUACUUAGGAACGAUAUUUUUGAAUAAAAAUGUAAAAAAUAUCUUCACAAAAUGCAAAAUAGCGGCCAACCUAAAUUGUCUUGUCGGCACAACGCUGCCCCUGCCAGAGCGAAUUAACUUCCCUCCUCCCACCUCCUCUGGAGCUACCCUGAUGGCUAAGUUUUGUUUCUCUUUUAAUGAGAAGAGGGUUCAGGAGUCUCUGUUGGAGACAACUUAAUUCUAUCAGCCACAGCUGAUAUUUUAUUUUCAUUGGAAGAAUUCUCAGAUAAUGGAAAGUGAUACAUUGGGGAAGGAGGAAAGGUAGUUAAAUUAAUAUUUGAUUUUGUAGUGGAAAGGCUCAAAGGAAACACAGAAGGCUUAAGCCGGUGU